rnacentral:rRNA from 1 species
AUUGAACGCUGGCGGCAUGCCUAACACAUGCAAGUCGAGCGGAGCGGCGAACGGGUGAGUAAUGCCUAGGAAUCUGACUGGAAGUGGGGGCGAACGUCCGGCAACGGGCGCUAAUCACGCAUACUAUCAGAUGAGCCUAGGUCGGAUUAGCUAGUUUGUGGGGUAAAGGCCUACAAAGGCGACGAUCCGUAACUGGUCUGAGAGGAUGAUCAGUCACACGGUAACUGAGACACUGUCCCGUCUUCGACGGGAGGCAGCAGUGGGGAAUAUUUGACAAUGGGCGAAAGCCUGAUCAAGCCAUGCCGCGUGUGUGAAGAAUGUCUUCGGAUGGUAAAGCACUGUACGUUGAGAUGCGUUAUCAACAGAAUAAGCACAGGCUAACUUCGUGCCAGCCGCCGCGGUAAUAC